rnacentral:pre_miRNA from 14 species
UUGUUGACCCAUUGCCCUUGUCUCAGACUGAAAGACUCCUGGAGCGGGGAGACCCUCACUCAAGUCUUGGGAUGAUGUGACCUCCCAAGAACUCACGAGAGACC